rnacentral:rRNA from 1 species
GACGAACGCUGGCGGCGUGCUUAAUACAUGCAAGUCGAGCGGAAAGGCCCUUCGGGGUACUCGCGCGGCGUACGGGCGAGUAAGACGUGAGUAAGUGGCUCCCCACCUUGGGAUAAUCCUCGGAAAUGGGGGCUACUAACGUAUACGACACAGAUAUGCUUGGGGUCUGUGUGGAAAGUUUUGCGGCUUGGGUUGGGUCAGUGGCCUAUGAGUCUGUUGGUGGGGUGCUGGCUUACCAAGGCGACGACGGGUAGCCGGCCUGUGAGGGCGACCGGCCACACUGGGACUGAGACACGGCCCAGACUCCUACGGGAGGCAGCAGUGGGGAAUAUUGCACAAUGGGCGGAAGCCUGAUGCAGCGACGCCGCGUGAGGGAUGACGGCCUUCGGGUUGUAAACCUCUUUCAGCAGGGACGAAGCGUAAGUGACGGUACCUGCAGAAGAAGCGCCGGCCAACUACGUG